rnacentral:rRNA from 1 species
CACGUAGGGGACGAGCGUUGUCCGGAUUCAUUGGGCGUAAAGCGCGCGUAGGCGGCUCGGCAAGUCGGGCGUGAAAUGCCGGGGCUCAACCCCGGGACUGCGUCCGAUACUUCCGAGCUGGAGGUAGGUAGGGGCAGAGGGAAUUUCCGGUGGAGCGGUGAAAUGCAUUGAGAUCGGAAAGAACACCAACGGCGAAAGCACUCUGCUGGGCCGACACUGACACUGAGAGACGAAAGCUAGGGGAGCAAACGGG